rnacentral:rRNA from 1 species
ACGGGACGCAGCAGUGGGGAAUAUUGCACAAUGGGGGAAACCCUGAUGCAGCGACGCCGCGUGAGCGAAGAAGUAUUUCGGUAUGUAAAGCUCUAUCAGCAGGGAAGAAAAUGACGGUACCUGACUAAGAAGCCCCGGCUAAAUACGUGCCAGCAGCCGCGGUAAUACGUCUGGGGCAAGCGUUAUCCGGAUUUACUGGGUGUAAAGGGAGCGCAGGCGGCUUGGCAAGUCUGAUGUGAAAGGCUGGGGCUCAACCCCAGGACUGCAUUG